rnacentral:lncRNA from 1 species
AUCAACCUGUCUUCCUCCAGAAUGGCAUUCGGUUUAUUGCACACACACUUAUGCAGCCUCUCCCCAUCUUCCUACACAAGCUAUUAAUAAAGAACAAUGUCAGAAACGUUUGAAACUAGACGCAGCCCAAUUUAAUUUCUAUCCAUUCUAAUUGUAUCUUUUAAUCUUUGAUCAGCUCUUCACACUUGAGCUUGUUACUUUGAGCCUCAAGGUACGUCAGUCAUGAUUAUAUGACCAACUGUCUGUUUUCCUCCUUCUGUUCACCACUUAAAGGUGCAAUCCUGAAUUCAAAUGCAAUAGAUCAGCAUACAAGUCACAUACUGUAUGCAAUAUACUAUUUCAGCCAAUCAGCACUUUCCUGUCCUCCUUUUCUGUGAACUAGCCAACAGUGACAAAUGGUUAGAUAUUUCUUUUAGAUAAAAAAAAAGACAGACAGAAAAAUAUAAGUUCUCAUGCAGCUUGUAAUUGCAAAAUGAUCUUUCAUCUUGAACAAUGAGCCUUCAUUUUGUGUUCAAGAUGUUCCAGGUCCAUACAACCAGAAAAGUAAUCUUCCUUUUAUCCAUGCUGGUUUGUCCUUCAGACCUCACUGGAUGUCAACCUGGCCGCCCUGGCAACCCUGGUUCUUCUGGAUCUCAUGGCCCGCCUGGACCUCGUGGCGGCAAUGGACCUCGUGGCGGCAAUGGACCACCUGGCCCCCCUGGCCCCACUGCCCUCCCUGGAAAACCGGGCCUACCUGGUCCACCUGGCCCCCGUGGACCUCCCGGCCCCCCCGGACCACCUAGCAUGACUGGAUCAUCUGGCCGUGAUGGACCUACUGGUCCCCAGCAAUCUGCACCUGCUCUGAAGGAGCGCUUUGCAAUUGAGGAACAACAGCGAGAACAUCAUUUUGACAGACGUCCAGCGCAGCCGGCAACCCAAUAACAAGGGCGUUGAUUGGCUGAUCCCUGCUUUGCAAACAAGUGCCUUAACCAUCGUGUAAUACAAAAAACACUUCACUUCAUCACAGAUAUAUUCAUUCAUCUGGCGACUUUUUAAAUAUUUUGACUUUGAAUUUACUCUCCUGAAAAUUAACUCUGUUUUCAAUAUCAUAAAUAUUCUCAUGUAAUCUGCUUUCCCAUCAAAUCUAUACUCAUGCACUCAUGUUUUACCAUUUAUUUUAAAGCAUCAAAUAAAGCAAAUAAAAAAAAAUAUUUUGACUUUGAA